rnacentral:lncRNA from 1 species
AGAAGCCAGAGAGAAGUGUAAUCAAUCACAAGAAUUCAGAAACGCCCAAAAGUAAACAAAUUUCUUCUGCUUCAACAUUACCCAAUUUCUACUAUCAUGUAACUUACAAAACCAAAAGUUGCAAGUCCAACAACAAAAAACACAAACGGCAGCUCCAAGGAAAUAGACUAAAUCAAAGUAAUAAAUCUACUACACCAACUAAAUCAAAAAGCAACGAAACUAUAUGAGACAUAAGCACUCUGUGGCAACCAAAAAGAACAAUAUCGACACACUCACAUUUGUUUGCAGAACACACGCUCAAAAUCAACCGCAACGGAAAAUCACAUCAAGAGAGACCCAAAGACGCAGCAGCACAAAUUCAACAGAACAAAUAUAUUCAUUCUCACCAAAUUUUCGG